CAAUAGCGUAUAUUAAAGUUGUUGCAGUUAAAAAGCUCGUAGUUGGAUUUCGGGACGGGCCAGUUGGUCCGCCGCAAGGUGUGUUACUGACUGGUCUGUUCUUCUUCGCAAAGACUUCGUAUGCUCUUCGUUGAGUGUGCGUAGGAUUUACGACGUUUACUUUGAAAAAAUUAGAGUGUUCAAAGCAGGCUAUCGCUUGAAUACAUGAGCAUGGAAUAAUGGAAUAGGACUUUGGUCCUAUUUUGUUGGUUUCUAGGACCGAAGUAAUGAUUAAGAGGGACAAUUGGGGGCAUCCGUAUUUCGUUGUCAGAGGUGAAAUUCUUGGAUUUACGAAAGACGAACAACUGCGAAAGCACUUGCCAAGAGUGUUUUCAUUAAC
rnacentral:rRNA from 1 species